AGAGUCCUUCGGGACUUGAGAGCGGCGCACGGGUGAGUAACGCGUACAUGACCUGCCUUUAAGACCGGGAUAGCCCUGGGAAACUGGGAUUAAUACCGGAUGUGAUAAUAUGUAUAGAGAUAUAUUAUUAAAGUUGAGGCGCUUAGAGAUGGGUGUGCGUUUGAUUAGCUAGUUGGUAGGGUAACGGCCUACCCAGGCGACGAUCAAUAGGGGGCGUGAGAGCGUGACCCCCCACACGGGUACUGAGACACGGACCCGACUCCUACGGGAGGCAGCAGUAAGGAAUAUUGGUCAAUGGACGGAAGUCUGAACCAGCCAUCCCGCGUGCAGGAUGAAGGUCCUAUGGAUUGUAAACUGCUUUUAGCAGAGACGAAACGCCGUCAUUUAUGAUGGUCUGACGGUAUCUGCGGAAUAAGCACCGGCUAGCUCCGUGCCAGCAGCCGCGGUAAUACGGAGGGUGCAAGCGUUAUCCGGAAUCACUGGGUUUAAAGGGUGCGUAGGCGGAUGAUUAAGUCAGUGGUGAAAGCUGGUCGCUUAACGAUCAAACUGCCAUUGAUACUGAUUGUCUUGAAUUGGGUUGAGGUUAGCGGAAUGUGACAUGUAGCGGUGAAAUGCAUAGAUAUGUCAUGGAACACCAAUUGCGAAGGCAGCUAACUGGGCCUUGAUUGACGCUGAGGCACGAAAGCGUGGGUAGCGAACAGGAUUAGAUACCCUGGUAGUCCACGCCCUAAACGAUGCUAACUCGAUGUUUGGACAGUAAGUUUGAGCAUCCAAGG
rnacentral:rRNA from 1 species